rnacentral:rRNA from 1 species
AUUGAACGCUGGCGGCAGGCCUAACACAUGCAAGUCGAACGGUAGCACAGAGAGCUUGCUCUCGGGUGACGAGUGGCGGACGGGUGAGUAACGUCUGGGAAACUGCCUGAUGGAGGGGGAUAACUACUGGAAACGGUAGCUAAUACCGCAUAACGUCGCAAGACCAAAGAGGGGGACCUUCGGGCCUCUUGCCAUCAGAUGUGCCCAGAUGGGAUUAGCUAGUAGGUGGGGUAAUGGCUCACCUAGGCGACGAUCCCUAGCUGGUCUGAGAGGAUGACCAGCCACACUGGAACUGAGACACGGUCCAGACUCCUACGGGAGGCAGCAGUGGGGAAUAUUGCACAAUGGGCGCAAGCCUGAUGCAGCCAUGCCGCGUGUAUGAAGAAGGCCUUCGGGUUGUAAAGUACUUUCAGCGGGGAGGAAGGUGUUGUGGUUAAUAACCGCAGCAAUUGACGUUACCCGCAGAAGAAGCACCGGCUAACUCCGUGCCAGCAGCCGCCGUAA